GGCCCCAUAGUUCAACGGAUAGAACGGAAGUUUCCUAAACUUCAGAUUCAGGUUCGAUUCCUGGUGAGGCUA
rnacentral:tRNA from 1 species